rnacentral:rRNA from 1 species
AUGGUGCUUCGAUUUGGUUCCUGUGGUGAAUUUGUAGUGACACUGUUACCUUCAGAAUUUGAGAUGAAACAUUUCCAGAGCGUAUAUGGAGAGCCUAGAAGCAGCAGGGGUCCGCGGAGCAGCGGAUGCGGUCGAUGGAGUAGCAGGGGCAAGGAGGUCAAGAUGGUUCAGGAAGAGUGCCUACAGAGAUUACAGAACUGGAUAGAGGUGCCUUAUGAUAGUAUAGCUAAAGAACAACAGUUUGUCUCUUCAGAAGUUUGGGUGCCUCUGUUUUGCUACUUUUUAGUUCUCAUCAUUAAGGUCCAUGGACAUUGCUAG